CGCGCUCUGCUCUGCAUUUCUUUGUUUUGCAUUUCUGCAGUGCAACUCAACCGACGCAAACUCUUGUCGGUUGCAGCUUACCCAUUCUGUUGUCUUCUUCUAAAGCUGGUCAGGAAUGAACACGGCCCAGAAUUCCUGUGUCUUCAAAGACUGUUGUAGCAUAGCACUGUAGUCUCGUUACUCUCAAGCCGCAUGGAAAAAAAAAAAAGAUGUUUUGUUUAGUCACCUUAACUUUUUAUAAAAUGCAUGUUGUAGUCAGAGAGAUUGUCAAGUGUAAGAGAUGCGACAUUUGAUAACUGUGAUGUGAACUUCCACAUAGAAAAGUGCUUUGAUGUGUGUUUGGCUAAUAUGGGUGGUAUGUUUCCUAAUUGUAUUGAGUCGCUAUUUAGAGCUUUCAUGUUUACAUUUUGCAUAUACUUAAUUGUGAGCACUUUCUUUCUGCAGUGGCUGAAUUCAUACUGCUAGAACUGUAAGUGAAGUUGGACUGAAAGCUUCUGCCGAUAGCAUUUUUGUGUGUUACUGCAUGUGCUUUUCUUCAUUGCUGACAGAUGACAUAUUUAUGCUCCAUGCAAUGUCUCUUCUUUGUGUGCACCAUUUAAAAAAUUUGCUUUCUAACAUUGCAGCUGCAAUGGUACAAAGUACAUCGAUGCCAGUGAAGCCAGAUGCAACCUGCUUAUUAGCUCUGUAUAUUUUUGUUCUUUUUGGAGUUGCUUUGCCUACUGAAUUCAUGUUAAUGUGCUCCUUGAUUGUAAAGCUCUAUCUUGCUGUUGAAAAAAAGCGUAUGGUUGGGGUAGCCAAAUGGUAAAAAAAAAAAUUUUCCCAUGACUAUUCAACAGGUCUCAUCAUUUGCAAAGCAGCAACAAAAAAGAAAGAAAAGCAGGCCUCAAGUUGUUCUGCAAAAAUAUUGUUUUGCAUUCGCCAACAAUAGCUUGUGCUUUUUUUUAUCAUUGCUCAUUGUGACACAAUCUGUUCCAUUCAUGCAGGUCGAACUGUGUUUACCAUUUGCUGUAAGCCUUCUAAAGGGCCCUAAUUGUGCAGCGCUCCUCCGGAGCAAUGCAGCAUUUUGUUUUCACAGCACCUUCUUUCGUACAAUCCACAGCGCACAUAGCACAGUAGACAUUGCUAGGAACAAGUUGCUGUAACUUGCAUUUCCAAUAGGCAACAGAAUUUCAUAAUCCUCAGUGAAGAAAGUGACUAUCUCUUAAAUAAUCUCUAAGCAGAACGGCACAUUAUUUUUUUAUCUCCUGAUAGUUACAGUAAUGACUAUCCGGAAAUAAGUUAAUGGGUAUGUAAAAAUCAAAGUUAAAAGAUAACACCACAUUGGACAAAGGCUCGGCUUUUUUUAUGUCUGCACGAAUGUUGUGCAAACGCAAUGUUUGUGACGGGAGUGUUAUAUCGCGUGCACAAUAUUACGCAGCUAGAAUCUUUUUAUGCACUUCUCUGUAGAUCAGCGCUCCAUUCAAUGCACACUCUAUCCACACUUUUUCACUUCUUGGUACCAGCUGCAAUUUUCCGUUGCUGACUUCACUUGUUGCCUCAGCACCUGCAAAGUGAUUGAAAGAGGGAAAGGAAGCUCAACUUUAAAGGGCACCUCACCAGGCCCUAUAGCAAAUUUUGGUUAUAUGCUGGAAGUUGUUAUGUGUCCUCUAGGAAGCGUUCUGCCACAAAAAUUUUUCAAGUCUGCUCAUUAAUAGCCGAGAUAGAAAUAUUUCACUGCCGCGAACCCAUGAUUUCAGCAGGCGGGCUCCACUGCAUAGCGAGACUCCCUCUCAGUAUCUCGCUAUGAAUUUUCUCAGUCUCAGAAUUUCAGAUCUUUCCGCGACGCUUAGCAAUGUAAUACUUUGCAGACACGAUCGUUAUCACGCAAUGUAUGCUCUGCGCUUGUCAGCUCAAAAUGGCCAGACCUGGUGAGGGGCCCUUUAAAGCAUAGCAAAUAUUUCCGCAGCCAUUUCUGCCAACAUCGACAGCAACAACAUGCAAAUUUCAUUGUGAGAGAACUGUAAUCAUUGUGCAAUACUCCAUUUCUGCUUCCUCUGGUUUAGCCUAAAACAUAUUUAUCCCACGUGCGCUCCAUGGCCAAGCAGCUGCUGUAAUCGCCAAGUUUUAUGAGAUGGUGGCUAAUCAUUAUGUGCAAACAGUAUUCAUGUCUGCAUGUACAGCAAUAGUGAUACCUUAGCUAAAAGCUUGAAAUUAUCCAUAUAUUGCAUGUGAAACUUUCUGAGCUUGCACAGUUUCGCCAGAACAGCUCAAGUUAUAUGUUCGGAAUAUCUACUCAUUUUUCUUUCAUGGUACAUGAACAUUGUGCAAGCAAAACAACUAAGCCUCUUCUGUUUCACAAACUGCACUGGCUUUGUUACUUGUGUUCUUUGAAUGAAAUUGAAAAUGAGUUUUAAGAAAUGUGCUUUUUGAUCAACAUUCUAUCAAUCCUAGAUCCCAUUAUUUUUGACGCUGCAGUAUAAUGUCCAGGACGAUACUAGUGCCAGUAUGUGUGAUUGCGUUUUACGGACUUGCAUAUGAACCAACACUGUUUGUCAUUGUAUGCGAAAUAUUGUAUCUUAUUCUUCUAUUGAGGUUGUGUCAUACAGAGGUUACUGCAGUGUUACUGUUGCCGAACAAUUGUCCAUUUUUGUCUUUUUGUCUCUGCUUGGCAAUUUUUACAGAAAGUAUUAUUAAAAGAAUUAAAUUAUGCGGCUUUACAUGCCAAAACCUUAAUCUGAUUAUCAGGCACGCCGUACUGGGGGACUCCGGAAAUCUCGACCCGCUGGGGUUCUUUAAUGUGCACAUAAAUCUAAGUACACGGGUGUUUUCGCAUUUCGCCCCCAUCGAAGUGCGGCCGUCGUGGCCGGGAUUCGAUCCCGCGACCUUGUGCUUAGCAGCCCUACACCAUAGCCACUAAGCAACCACGGCAGGCGCAAGAAAUGAUUGUUAGUUCAACUCAGUGCCUAAAUUUAGCAGGGUUUCUUCAGUAAUCUACUGUUUGUGCAGUUCCAAAAAUAACACACAAUGCCAAUUAGCCAUGGUGGCUUCCAGAUCACAUUUCAUGAAUCUUUAGUGAGUCAUCCAAAAUGGCUGCUUCAUUUGCAUACCAGCUAGCAAAGUACAUCUUUUCUCAUUCUAAAAGGACGCUGAAGAUAUGUGAUAAAGCACUUUAGACUGGUAGCGUGCUGCUUCCAAACAUUAUUUGCAUUUCUCUGCAAAAAUAACAAUUGACUAUCCUCAUUUCAAAAUUGGGUGCCAAAGUUGUCACACCCAUGAUGCCAUUACAUCAUCACAAAUUUCACAGCAUUUCUGAUCAUUCGAGCCAUUUUCGUGCAGCUAGGCAAACUUACCAAACAGGCAAACUGAUCCAUAGCUUACUUAACACAAUGUAAUCUUCCUUGAUUGAUGAACACUUAUAAUUCCCAUGCAGUUUUAAAUUCGUGACUAAGUGAGAGGGCAGCCAGUCUCAUGAGAUUGUCAAGGUGGCAGUGCCACCUGUCCAUAAUUUGGCACCCUUUGUAGCUUAUCAAGUUUUCACUUACGAUAAGAGCGAGCUGUUUGAAAUUCCGGGACGUGUAAUCUACCAAUCCAUAGCUUUCGUUAGCCUGUUAGUGUCCCGUUGUAACUUCAGUCAUGCAUGGUUCAGUCGCUGUGCAUUAACUGAUGACAUAAACUCUGUUUUGAUUCACAGGGUUGGUGCCGCGCGGUGGAGCAUCUGUCACAUUUUGCAGAGAUUCUCAAGAACAGGUAGAAGACGUCGAGAACUCUACCACAGCAGCACCUGGUGCAAGUGACAAGAGAGAGCCAGACAAUCGCAACAUUGCUUUCAUGCUUCAACUAGGUUUGACCAAAUUGCAGCCACCACAGCAGAUUCCGGCAGAUCACAUCAAGACUGAACACAAUAUGUCACCUCUUACCUCUGGAAAUGGCCCUGAUAUCCAGUUUGAAAACCCUUCUCCAGAAGAGCUGUCACUUUGCGAUGCCAUGUGCGACCCCAAGGCUGCAUCCUCCACUCUCCCAGCGGCAGUGUUUUGUAGUCUCCCGACAAAGCACAUGAAGCUAUGGUGCGCAGAGCCCUCAAACGUCAUUGUUGAGGAAGGAGCACCUGGCACUGGCAUUGUUGUUGAUUCUGCUGAGGACACAGAUCCACAGGUGAAGAAGCAUGACAAGACGAUUUCCAUGAUUAAGCAAAAGUUCCAUGACAGAAGUGGACAGUCCAAGCCCAAAAAACGAAGGUCUGCCUCCUUGGGCAUGCCCUUCAAGGUCAUCGCAACAUCAGAACAAACACCGCAAGACAUGUCGCAAGAAAGGAGGCUCCGUCGAACCUCAAGAGAGCAGAAAAAGAUGUUCCUGUGCCCACAAUGCCCAGAAACAUUUGUCUAUGAGGGCAAUUUGCUUGAUCACAUAAACAGACACACCAGGAAGAAAGUGUUCCAGUGCCUACACUGCAAGACGAAAUUUUCGAACAAGCGUAUCCUCACAACUCACAUCCAGAAUAUCCACCCCUAGUAUACCCUUCCCCACUGCCAUUCUUCUGUUCGAUGAAGAGAACUGUAGAAAACUAGUCUCGUGCAGGUGUUCUGUUUCCUUUCUUAUUUGUUUGUUUCUGCAGAAAAUUGAGCUGUUGAUAGUGCAAGAAGCGUUAUUGUUCCAGUGUAAGAGAGUACACUAGGUUCUAGACACAGGUCAAUAUUUCUCACAGCGAUUGAUGAUUACUGCUAUUUGUAGCGUGCAUGCCAGUCUUGUCGAGACAUUGCUGACAGCUUUAUGAACUGGCUUAAGUUACUCAGGAUAAAAGGAAAAACAAAUAGCACUACUGGACUCACAACCCAGGCUUUCAGGCAAAUGUAAUAGCUGUUAGACAUUGCAUUUUACAGUCAAACCACAGUGACCACAGCAUUUAAUAAUGUGAGUGGUCAUUUAUAAUGAGCCGGUGAGGUAGGCAUAAAGCCGUUUUUUUUUUAGAUUAGAUGUACCUGUGUGAUUGUUAAGUUUUGUGGUUGUAUCAAGGUCAUAAACCUCUGGUGUUAAUGUCGUUUUGCCAAAUAAGUGAAGCGUUUGGUCCUGAAUAUUCUGUAUGCAGCAUAACUUCAGUUAUAUAUAAUUGCAUACUUUGUUUGUUAAUUUAACUUUAUUGUUUAUCUCCUGUGUUAGAGUGUUCUUGUUACAGUGUGCUAGUCAGAAAAGUUGUGAGCGAGACAUAGCAGGAUGGAGCUUGCUGAGCAUAAUGGAGUCAUUGUAAGAGAAAGGCGGAUGUUUCACGUAUUCGAAUUUGCUCAAAAUUAUUUCAACUUUUGGCAAAAAAGGAGAGGACAUGGAAGGAUAGACAUGGUCAGAUUCGUGGUAAAGAGGUAAAACCAUGUUUCCUUUUCUCGUAAUACUCACUGUAUGCUCCACGUAUAUUUCAUGUCUAGCUCUUACUCUUCGUUACAGCUUUAUAUUUCUUUGUAACGUAGUUUUGUUACCAAAUUAGUGCAUUACAUGUUCAUCAUUGUGUUGACAAAGCUUGAUCAGCACCUGUAAUCUUCUAAAUUGCCCAUUUGCGGUGUAGUUUCUGCAGUUAAUAAAGUUUCAUGAGUAAAGUUACCAGCUGCACAUGACUGAUCUUUUGCUUAUAAAACCCCAGGAGAAACCAACAGUCUGCAAAACGUGACACAGAGACGUGACACUGCUGUCACUGUUUUGAUAUAAAAAGGAGAAAAGGCUGUAUUCAUUGCAUCAAUGAGCACAAGUGGGCUGGUGUCCAUAAUUAUUGCAGUUGUUGCAAACUUAGUUGUCAUUAGGUCUGUCAGAAUGAAAGUUGAACAGUGCUAGUGUAGAGAAAGUUACUAGUCUAAACUGCAGUUUAUGCCACUGUAUAUUAAGCUGGAUGUAGCGUUGCUGGUCCCAUAUUUGUUUGUAAGCCUGUUUCUACCGUGUUAGUUUUGUAACUUUGGCUAAGCUUUGCCUGUUAUGUGACAUCGUACUUUGGACUGUGACAAUCUUUACUAUAUAAUUGAGCUUGUGUUUAGUAAAGUGUCCGUACGUGACCAUUUGUAAAAGGGCCCCUCUCCCCAGGCCCAGUCAGAGAUUCUUGUUAUAUACUGGAAGUUGUAAGGCACUUUCUAGGGCGUGCUCCUACCACUAAAAUUGUAAAAAUAGAGUCGGUAUUAGCGAAGACAAGCAAAUGAAAUGUUAUACAAUCAUCGAAGGAGGUGAGCGACCCUCCACACAGCAGAACCCCUCUCUCACUGCCUCGACCAAUGCCUGCAAGCAACAUUCCCCCACUGCACUCUCUUGCAUUAGAACCGAGGGCCGACGCAAUAUUCAUAUCACCCCCCCCCCCCUUCAUUCCGCUGUUGCUGUGCAGCACGUUUCGACUGUCGCUUUUGUGCACCCCAUGUCUUACAGAAACCCCGAUGUUGCUCUUUGCUGUUUGUGCACUGCGCUCUGUGUGUGACGCAGAGGUGGUGCCAGGGGAGUUUUCUGUGCUGGCGAGUGGCUCCUUUGGGAUGAAUUGCUCAUGGGCUUUUGUUUGAAUAUUGAGCUGCUUUAAUGGCAAGCAUCAUUUUAAUGCAAGAGGAUUCCAGAUUGGGCAAGUGGAAAACGUUCGUGAUAAUCAGCACAGGAAAAGAUGAGAUCAAGAAUAGGAAAACACAGGUUAAGUGUUAUUUUCUUAUUCCUUAUCCCAUCUUUCGCCGCGCUGAUCAUAUUGAGUCAGUUUAACACUUUGCGUACCUGAUGGUCGCUUCAUGAUGCGCCCAGCGUGCUUGUCUUUUUGCAAUGCCAAAGCUGGUCAGGGGACCUUUAAGCUUUCCUCAAAGGUUAGAGAGACAUUAACAGUCAAGGGAACAAAAUGAAGCACAUUAUCAUGUCACGAGAGGAAGGCAAAGAGUGCAGCUGAAGUUCCAUAAUUAGAACUCCUAGGAACUGCUAAAUUUUGCAUGGAUCCUCCGGAGUUAAAUAAAGUAAGCUAGGAAGCAAUUACGGGUUAUAGGAGCAGGCUUGCUCAGAAAGUGGCAAGCAGGUGUAAAGACAGUAGAGUUAGGUUCUAUAGUGCAGAGAAAGAGAGUCAUCCUCAGAUCUGUCAGAGUCGAAUCUAUAUUUGGUGGCUUCCACUAUCCUACAUAGUUGCUUAAUCACCAAACAUGGGCAUGCUCUAUUAAUGCUUUGGGAACUUGCCUAAAUUGGCAGGUGCUGGUUGUCAUUCUUGGCUCUGAAAAAGCCAAAAUAAUUGAAUUGACCGAAGCCCUUACUUGAAUUGAGCAGCUUAAAAUAAAUUUGGAAGUAAAACAGUAGGCCAAGCAAGAAAUUGUUCCUUUUCUUUUGUGCUGUUUUCGUUCCUGUUGCCAUAUCCCAACAGCAAACUGUCCUGAAGAACUUUGAUUUGUUUGUAAUUCAGCAUUUGAACUACGAGUUUGGAUCGCCACUAGCUGACUGCUUUUAUCAAGAAGAUCACAAUAGAUGCAUUGUAUGUAGUAAGCAAAUGGUAUUUGGAAUUCAUGUAGCAAAGUCGUGCUCCAGCAGUGUCGUAUACCCUGUGCAUAGAAAAUUGAAUACAUAAAAUGGCUAUACCUGAAUGUGUUGCCUUCAGCACGUAACCAUUGAUCAAGCAAAGAAAAGCAGGUGUGACAUCAGCAAUUUGUGAAUGGGCAUGCUUCUGGUAGCAGGCACCUUGCCAGAUGAUGCUUCUCUCUCUCUCCUCCUUUAUUUUUAUAUGUAUUUGUGUGUGCGACUGUUUUGACCAACAUCACAAAACUGCAGUAAUAUUGACGGCAAUGUUGGUCAAGGCGAAAGGGGCGGCCAUACCAUGGCUUGACAUGCGCAAGUGAGCUUGCAGCCCUAUUCCACACAGUUCCAAAGAAACUUUGUUACACAAGUUUUGUUGAAACCGCUAAUGCCUGGAAACAUAUUUGCUUCUAAUUUGUCUUUCAGUAUCAUUGAAAGUGACGGUUGCCAAUGAAAUGUGCAGUCAGAAUCAGAGUCGGAGUAUGUUUCAGCUGUUCUCCCCCAAACCUGUUCCACACCCUAUCUCUUCAUCUUCUUGUACUAGAUACUGUAGUGCCCCUAAAGAUGCAUAACUUGUUGACAGUGAGGCAAUCUAUUGAGUACUGUAUCAAACAAAAGUAUUAUUAAAAAAUAAUGCAUAGAUUAUUGCCAUAUAUGUGCCUUAGUGUGCUAAUACCUUGGGGUGUCUCACAAUACAGGUUAUAUCAUGGCUAUGAACGUGCAAAAUACACUAGAUCCGAAAACCAGCGAAAUUAGUUCUGCCAGUCUUCAUAGGAUAUCUUGUGUGUUUUAUAAAAAACUUCAUAUUUAUCACGGUAUCCAAGAAUUACAUUUCUUAAUAAGCUGUUAACCAUUAACACUAAGCCUUAAAUAUUGUGCACAGAUAAAUUGGCAAGUUCCAACUAUAUAGUACAUUUUGAGAGCUCCCCUGUGUUGCAAUGCACAUUGAUCUCCAGAGAUGGUUUUUAACUGCCCCAUUUGUAUUGGCUGCUAGUGACACAGGAAUGCUAGUUUUCCUGCAGAAAUAACACCUGUGCCUCUCUUCUUUAACAUUCUGCUACAUAGUUGUUAACACAUCUCGAUGCCAGUAAGCGUAGACUAUCACCACUUUUCAAUUGAGGGGGUCACUGUCAAUAGUGCUGCUUGAUGGCUCCUACAAAAAGGAGUUGAUUGUGAAGCAGCCAUCCACACAAGUACAUUAGAGGUGAUGGUGAAAAUGUCUGAUAACAAAAAUGCUGCUCAGAAACUACCAUGGAACACUUUAAUUGCAGCGAUGACUUCAGCUGGAAGAGAAGUGCUGUCCAUUCCCCAAUGUUCUGGUGAUUCAUCGAUCAGAGGAAUCUUUGAGAAUUUCUAAGCUAAUCGGCUCUCACGUCUGGGCUGGGUUUGCACCUUCAGUACUGCAGGCAGAUGAACAAGAAAGUCCAAUGCCUGCUGUACUAUAAAGUUGUGUACGUCUUUCACUCUGAGCAAGAAGCACCAAUGCAUGUGCAAACAGGCAUUUGGCUGAUUGCACGCUGAGUGGCAUAAAUGGUGGCUUCUUCGCAGCAUGGCCAUCAUCCCUCGUCAUAACGCCUGUGCCAGACAGUGCUGCCGAGCGCCGACCUGUUGUACCGGUCCCACCUCAAGUUACAGCCACAAGCAUCACACCUCAUGGGAUAGUAUGCGCACCCUUCGACACGGCGAUUCUUCACAGGGGCAUCGACAUCAUAGGCCCUUGUGCGCCCAGUAUCAGCAAGUGCGAGUUUUCAGCGCAGGGCAACAGUGCUAGAGCUGCAGACUUUGCUGCUACCGGCGAGCCCAUCAUUCAGCAGCUGGGCGAAGGAGGUGCCAGCAGUGACCAGGACAUGACUGCAUCGCAGUCCCAGAGGACACCCAAGCCCUUUGCCUGUCACGUCUGCCCCAUGAGUUUCGGUUUCCACUCACAGCUUCAGGUACACCUGCGGUCACACACCAAGGAGACACCGUACCGAUGUCCCCACUGCUUCAAGGGCUUCUCACAGAAGGGCAACUACAACCGACACAUGCGAAUCCACAUGUGAGCAGGAGAGCAGCGUAUCAAAGCAACACAGACAUUUAAGGUCAAGCUUGCUCUUUCCCCACAUUGCACAGAGUGCAAUAAUGUGAAGCACCUCACCUAGUCUUGCCGGUGCUUCCGUGCCAAAAGAAUGAAGUUGCUUGACAACAUACUUGAAUAAAAGAGCUUCCGCAUGUGUCUGAACAGAAGGUAGCUUCAGACCUUCUGCUGAGAUUUCUGAAAGCAACUGAAGUGAUAGACACUCGCCUAGGUGCCCUGGAAUAAGAACCUCAGACCAAGACUACCAGGCAUAUCUGUGCCUGAAGCAACAGAAUCAUCAUCACCACCACCACUAUGUUGGUCACCUAGGGUGUGUCAAAAUGUCUGUACAUUCUGGACAGGCUCCACAAGACUGUACAGUGACAAGUGAUGUCAAGCGGUGUGCUCAAGUAACUGCAGGCAUAUGUCAUAUGUGCGUCGGGCAUUCCUUUUUGGACAUUGUAGAUAUCCGUGGGGCAUUGCUGGAUGUCUAAGGCUCGUAGAAUGUUCAGCAUUAACUGUGUUGUAUACCUGCGGACAUUGUUAUUGCAGGUGAAUGUGUGAUCUUUUGAGAUUGUAUGAAAAGGGGAGAAAUUUGAUUUUUUUUUUAAGAAAAAAGAAGCACUACUUCACCUUCCACAGGCUCUCAUUAUGCUUUUGCAUGUUCAUAUAGCUGUAAGAAUCAUGUGUUAUCAUACGCCAAAGAGACUGCUACGAUUCUCUUCUGUUUGGAGGGUUCGAACCAGAAAAACGGCUACAACUACCUUGUGUAGGUCCACAUAUAAGAGGAAGGCAGCGUGUGACUAACUAAACUCUAGUACAGCAGCCGUGCCAAGAUAUUGCUGCUUUCCUGAACUCAUUCUGCAAGAAUGUGUGGAGUGACUAUUUGUGUAAAUAACACCCAGUGAAUUGUUUGGACUAUGACAACUAGUUGCAUAAAUAUUCAAGCUUUACGCUCAGAUUGUCGAGUACCAUGUGUUUGUCUCCAUCUCCUUCUCUUUCUUCUAGAGUGUGCAUGUAUGUUUGUGCCAGUAAGAAUAAGUUGGGGUGUUGUUCUCCGUGCUAUAGUGGUUUCAUAUUUUGCACAAAUGUAUAGUUUGGUCUUUCGUCGCUUAGACAGACAGAAAUCUGAACAAGUUGGUGUAAAUUCAUGGGUAUGAAAUGGCAUGCAUACAAAAUGUGGACAGAUAAAGUAGAAACAGCCAACAUUUUGUGUUGUUUCUCUUUUGUUCAUGCUUUGUACGCCUGCCUUUUCAUUUCUUUAUUUUUAUAACUGCGCACUUAAAAGUGUGCUUAUAGUUGUUCAUGUUUUUUCUGGAAACAAGCUAUAACCCAAAAGUGUUUGCUGUUUCUCUCCUUCUCUUCCUUUUUGUGGGUCUGUUCUUAUUGGGUCUAACCACUACAUUUACUUGUGUGCACAGUUGGAAACAGCCAUCCCUAGGCAUCUUGUCAUGUGGUCCUUCACAUAUGCAUAGAACAUUGGCAAACUAGCUCUCCUGAAAUUCACUAGGUGAAGAAAAUUUCGCAUCAGUGAAAAACUCAUCCACAUGACAGUAGCGUGAAGCUACAAGGGAAACCCACACGGGUUUCACCAUAAACUUCGCAGUUGAAGAAAGAAUUCGUCCUGGUCUGGAGAGAGAGCUCCGGACCAACACCUUUGCAGGGGGAUCAUUUCACCGUCUGAGGUAACCACACAGAGCAAGGUUGAAUUAAUCGACAACUCAACAUGCAGGGACACUAAAUAUGAUGAACCAGUUCUGCAUUGAUCUGAAGGUGGAAGAAGCUUCUUAAAGAGAAAAAUUGUCAUACACCCAAAAGUUAGCACAAUGCUACAAAGACGUGUGCUUUUCACAUAGAUUUGUGUUCCAGUGGAUGGUGCAUUAGAUAGACGGCAGCUUCCCUGUUCCCAUGAAACCUCGUGGCGAUAUUUAAAUGCCAAACCACAUGGCAGUGGGGAAGGUCAGCAAUGACCUGAAAUGUUUGGCUUUCUUUUUCCUAGAGAGCUCGCAGGAUGCAAACAGAUACUAAGCAGGCAUUUUGGACAGAAUCAAUAACUAGUAAGUGCUUAUUACCGAACUACCUGUGCAUGUCGCUUAAGUUAAACAAAGAGCCUUGGUUGUUGCUGUUUUAUGUAGUAUUAUUCAUACUUCUUUUGGGGGGGGGGCAUGUUCUGCGGACUCUUGUAACAGCUUCACCAUCCUUCCCACCCCCCAUACCUCAAUAUUUGGUCACAAAAGGCAACUGGUGUUUGUUCACAAAGUCAAACUUCCAUGUAAAAUAGGUCAAAGCAGAUAACACCUAGGAACAUGCAUGCUCGCUUAUGGCUCCACGUGGCUAAGCUGCACUUGUUAGUUUCUUCAAAAGUAGGUGUCUGUUUCAGAUCCUGAGGUUAAAGCUGUGGCAUGCAGUGAGUGCAAACUAAAUAUACUCCUGGAAUAUUUUUAAGGAUUCUCUUUUUUCAGGGUGGCUAUUACACAAGUUUAUACUGUACUUGCAGGGCUUGGAAAAAGCUUGCCUUUGUGUAUUAUCCUUUGGUAUCUUAUAUCAGGUGCCCUUUUUUAGUUGCACCAGAUUUUUACAAAUCGCCUACGGCAAAUAGCACAAUUCUAACUCUUGAACUAAAUUUUUACAGCAGAGCUGUAUAUGUCUACCCUCCCAUACAUUCUUCAAUGUCCAUGCCUCAAAGCUCCCGCACCCUCUAUGAGGAGGCAAAGUAAGGCAUGUGCUGACACCUGGUGUAGCAAAAGGAAUGCUAAGAAACCACUCAAUAUGUGGUUUCAUACAAUGAUUACUAGAGGGAACUCUGAUGGGAGCUGCAAUUGUGGUGGUUCAGCCAGCAAGCAAAUUAUGGGGAGUACAUGGAUUUGCCUAAACUUCGUCCUUCUGACUUUAAACGUCUCUUCGACUUUGUAAAUUCGUCAUCUUCAGCAAAUUACUGUGUAAUGAAUAAUCAAAGAAACAUAAUUAAAAUCAUCCGCCAGCAGGAUUCAAGCAUAGGACCUACAACAGAGAAGCCUGACAUUGAAACCAUUACGCCAUGGAUGCAUGCAUUGACAAGCAGGAUAGGUCGCCCUUAUGAAUUUCUUGCAGGCAAGUCAGCGUCUUAGAUGCUUGAUGCACUUCAAUUUGCACACCUCGACAGGUUGAGCCACUAGUAGUAGCGAUUGUGCAUGUUCGCAGGGUAUUCUUCAGACACGGAAGGGAAAGGCCCCAAAAUACGUGAACUUUUACGCUUAGUGGUGUGCUUUGUCUUUCUUGCAGCUCCGCUGGUAGCCCACAUUCACAGAAUGUAAUGGCUGCGAAUGUUUUAAAUGAGGUGGACCGAGCUUCUACAAAAAAUCAAAAUGCAUAAUCAACAAAUUAACAUAAAGUUACUAAUUAACAUUUUAAGUAACUACUUUACAGCACAUAUUGCACUUUAUUAAUUGUAACUGGUGAUUUUGCCAGAAGUAUCCAAAAGUAUCCACUUGAAAUUAAUUUUCAGGAUGACACGAGUUUUGGGAUAUUUAUUUUCACUGUGUCCGACGAAAUGAAUUGGCGUGUGCAGUUACCUCUGUGCUCCAAUGCAUAGCGCAGGAUUUUCUUUAGAAAGUAAGUGGAACAACUGCAUUUUUACUGCAAGUUUGAUGGCACGUAUGAUGAAAACAGUGCCAUCCUCAGAAUUCGUUCAAGUCUAUAUGCUUUGCAAAUUUGCUUGCUGCAGCUUGUAAAUUGCAAUAUGUGCUGUAAGUUGAUUAGUACAAAACUUAAGUAAAAUUUCCUUAAUUAGUCAAUCACACAUUGAAUUGCUCUUCAAAGUAAUGUCCACCUCAUCAAGUAAUUUAGUUCAAGGGUUAGAAUUGUGUUAUCUGCCAUAGGUAAUUUUCACAAAUUUGGUGCAGCCAAAAAAAAAAUUGCCUGAUAUACACACAAGUAGUGAUUUAUUAGUUCUGUGGCGGGUCCUAUUUUAUUGCUUGCCGCUGACACCAGAAAGAUGUUAGGUUAACAUAACUGGUUAUAACCUAGCUUUCUUGCCAUUAUUUAUGGCAAAGCUUGGCGGUGGGUGUCGCGUGAUUAUACAUCUUGGCAUCGCGGAGAUGUAGAUCUUAUAAUACCUCUCAAGUAGCACUUUCUAGGCCUAGUAGUUUGUGUAGAUGCUUUCAUGAGCAAGUCUCCUGCCACCAUUUGCAGCGAGUGUAGCUUGGAAGCCAGGUUACAGGCUAGAAGAGGUGCUUGCUAAUGCAUUCAACAAGGCGUUCCAAACAACAUUAAAAGAAAACAAAGCCUUCUUUGCAAAUGGAACCAUUUGUAUUCUAUUAGCAGACACCUGAACAAUCUACAAGUGUAUUUUUUAUUCUGCCUGAUUACUAGUCAGUAAUGCUAUUAACGACCACCUAUUAAUUUUAUAAUCACUACAUAUGGGGUGAUCACCUUUAAGUUUUCUGGAAUUUGUAAAUAUCGCCUGUCAUAGCUAGAUAACAUAGUUCUAGUCCUUGAGCUGGAUUAUACAGAGAAGUCGACAUAACUUUAAUGAGAAAUCGAAACAUAUAUUCAACUAAUUUUAAAAAAAUUAUUAGUUACAUUGCAGCACAUUCUGCACUUUACAAAUUGCAGCCAGUGAGUUUACAAGGUGUAGCCAUUUGGAAUGGAUUUCCAGGAUGACAUCAGUUUUGGAGAUAUACGCCAUCAAACUUGGCGUAAAAAUGCACUGUUUCACUUUUUUAUCAAAACGCUCUUUUAUCCAUUGAAGCACAAAAAUAACUGGAACACCCAUCUAUUUUAUCCCACCUUUUGGGAAAUAAUAUCUCAAAACUGAUGUCAUCCUGGACACUCAUUUUAAGUAGAUACGUCUUGCAAAUUUACUGGCUACAACUCAUAAAUUACAAUAUGUGUCGUGAAGUAAUUAGUUAGGUUGAUUAUGAAUUCUUGUUGAUUGGUUGAAUAUGUGUUUUGAUUUCUCAUGCUCAUAAUGUCUGCCUCUUCGAAUAAUCCAGCUCAAGGGCAAGGAUUAUGCUGUCUGCCUCAGGCAAUCUUUUUUAAAUUCCAGAAAAUUUCUGCUGUAUAGUGCCAUUUUUUAGUGCUCGUUGGAAAACAGCCGUGGUAUUUGUUUGUGGAAUGAUCUCGUUUGACUUUUUUACUGUGACAGCAGUUAAAGGCUCGAAACUGGGCUUACUGUGUCUGUCCGUCCUUACCAUUACACUGUUCUAACCUUAGCACCAGCACCAUUGUAAAUUCGUCGUCAUCAGGCCACUUCCUUUCUCAUACUCAGCUUCGCCCUCACCACAUGGCAAAGAAAAACAACACUUUGCCCAUCGCCACACCACUUGCUCAUGUCUCUGCAGCAAUGUGCAGUUAGGAGCCCAAAACAUGGCGGCGGUGACAUGUUUCCAGCAUUUGCAAUCGCCUCCAGCACAUCUAACCUGCAUAAGUGUAGCCUUUCAGAUUGGUUUCUGUUACUUAGAGCCGUCGCUGGGGGGUAAAUUUGGACAGCACCUAUUGUGCAGCUUUUGUACUGGGCAACGGAGGGUGCGCAAAAUACUAGAAGUAGGCUUGCCCAGAAUGUCAACUUUCCUUAGCCUAACCUAACCUCCCACUCACUGAGCCGAGGGUAGGCUUCCAUCACGUGAGAGUCAAAGAAGGUGCACGGCGAAGCACACUUGCAAAAUUUCAUGUGAUGCCUGAUUGUUGCUGAGAUUUGUGCACCAUGCAGACUGGGAGCGGCAGCGCGGUGUCUGUGCAUAUUUCAGAGGCCACAAAAUAUAAUACUGUAGCAGACAAAGAUUAUAUAUGCAUCGCAGACAAGUCGUUCUUGACAAGAGAGAGAAAUUAGAAAAGGCAGGAUUAACCAGCAUUAUCAAUCAUAAAAGCACGGGUAACAUUUUGCAAAGCAUCUGUCAUGUAAUUUCUAUGAAGCCAUAUUUUAGUUACGAUUUGGAUCACUAACAAGAAAUGGAGUCGAUAUUGGAAUGUAUUUGAGGCUUCAACUUUCCUUAACACACACUGCCGUCACUAUCUUUUUUUCCAGCAUGCAAUAUAGCAUUCCAAGUUAACUGCGGGGAGCUAGUGACAUUUCUUGGAACAUGACCCAGCAGAUUAAUAUGCUGUGUGCUUUCAGUUGUUAUGGUUCCAUGAUGUACUUCUUUUUUUCUUGCACACUUUCUUUAAAAGCACACUAAGUGCAAAUAUUGAGUCAAGGUGAAAUAAUAGUUCUGUGUUGCCACAUCUCCAAGGCACCAGUUUUCUUUCCUUCUUAGAACACACCCUUUAAAUGUUGCAAAUUUACUUAAAGAUGGGAUACUAUGGGAAAAUAUGGCGCCAGCUUCCCUGAAAUUGCAUGUCUAGUUCAUAAUUUGUAAGUCCCAGUCAACUGAUAGUAAAACAAAAUGUUGCAUGUCAACCCAAGAAAAAUAAAAUUUUACUUUGACAAUUUUAUCUGAUUUUCGUGCAAACGAAUUCAUGGGUGCUACCUUUUCACACCACUGUCUCCGCACUAUUUCUCAGGGACCUUACUAUUUCUAGGAGUGCGGCACCCUCUGCAGGCUUCAAAGCAAACAGCCACUCCCAGAAGGGCACAACUUCCAAGGUCAACGUACUGGCUACACAAGGGACGCUAUUCAACAUGGGCAGUUCGAAUUGCAAAAAUAUAUGACACAGCCCUUUCAGCCACAUCUCUGAAAAGUCAUCUCUUGGCAUAAAACAAACAUUGCGAGGUUUAUAGAAAGUUCAUCUAACGUUAUUAAUUUACUCAACAGUAGUCUCUAGUGACUAUUUAAAAAAACAUGUGCCCAAUUUGUUGCCAAGUCGACGAGUCCCUGGCAGCUAAAAGUGUAAGAUGCACUGUUCUUUAUUGUUCAGUGAACCUGGCUGGCUGCUUGAUUUCCACUUAUUCGGAGGGCUUGCAUACAUAAAUUGUGCUUUUUUUUUUUUACCAGUGCUGGACAAGGAGGCAUUGUAUGUGAUAACUUGAGAUCUAUCUUAAUAGCUAACAUUCCAUUUCCAUUGCAUCUAUUCCACUUCAUAAAGUGUAUGGUGUACGUGUUAUGGGGCCUGACUGAAGGGUUAUGUGUAUGUGUGUAUAUAUAUAUGUAUAUAUGGCUGGUCAGUAUUUUAACUAAAGGGCAAAAUGGUGCCACCCUG